GUAGUUGAUCUUGGCUCAGAUUGAACGCUGGCGGCAUGCCUUACACAUGCAAGUCGAACGGCAGCAUGAUCUAGCUUGCUAGAUUGAUGGCGAGUGGCGAACGGGUGAGUAAUACAUCGGAACGUGCCCUGUAGUGGGGAUAACUAGUCGAAAGAUUAGCUAAUACCGCAUACGACCUGAGGGUGAAAGUGGGGGACCGCAAGGCCUCAUGCUAUAGGAGCGGCCGAUGUCUGAUUAGCUAGUUGGUGGGGUAAAGGCCCACCAAGGCGACGAUCAGUAGCUGGUCUGAGAGGACGAUCAGCCACACUGGGACUGAGACACGGCCCAGACUCCUACGGGAGGCAGCAGUGGGGAAUUUUGGACAAUGGGCGAAAGCCUGAUCCAGCAAUGCCGCGUGUGUGAAGAA
rnacentral:rRNA from 1 species